rnacentral:rRNA from 1 species
UGCCAGCCGCCGCGGUAAUACGGAGGGGGUUAGCGUUGUUCGGAAUUACUGGGCGUAAAGCGCACGUAGGCGGACAUUUAAGUCAGAGGUGAAAUCCCAGGGCUCAACCCUGGAACUGCCUUUGAUACUGGGUGUCUUGAGUUCGAGAGAGGUGAGUGGAAUUCUAGGUGUAAGGGUGAAAUCUGUAGAUAUCUAGAGGAAUACCAAUGGCGAAGGCACCUCACUGGUUGGUUACUGACGCUGAACUGCGAAAGUUGGGGGAGCAAACAGGAUUAGAUA